UUCUUGGUAGCUCAGCCAAUAAAGCGUGAAACUCUUAAUCUCAGGGUCGUGGGUUUGAACCCCAUGUUGGGCAAA